CAAGGAAGGCAUCAWGCGCACAAAUUACCCAAUCCCSACACGGGGAGGUAGUGACAAUAAAUACUGAUACASSSCUCUUUUGGGUCUUGUAAUUGGAAUGAGUACAAUUUAAACCUCUUAACSAGGAACAAUUGGAGGGCAAGUCUGGUGCCAGCAGCCGCGGUAAUUCCAGCUCCAAUAGCGUAUAUUAAAGUUGUUGCACUUAAAAAGCUCGUAGUUGAAACUUGGGUCUGGCUGGCGGGUCCGCCUCACCGCGUGUACUUGUCCGGCCGGGCCUUCCUUCUGGAGAACCUCAUGCCCUUUACUGGGCGUGUUGGGGACCAGGACUUUUACUUUGAAAAAAUUAGAGUGUUCAAAGCAGGCCUUUGCUCGAAUACGUUAGCAUGGAAUAAUAGAAUAGGACGUGCGGUCCUAUUUUGUUGGUUUCUAGGACCGCCGUAAUGAUUAAUAGGGACAGUCGGGGGCAUCAGUAUUCAAUUGUCAGAGGUGAAAUUCUUGGAUUUAUUGAAGACUAACUACUGCGAAAGCAUUUGCCAAGGAUGUUUUCAUUAAUCAG
rnacentral:rRNA from 1 species